rnacentral:rRNA from 1 species
UCAGGAUGAACGCUGGCGGCGUGCUUAACACAUGCAAGUCGAACGGAGUGUAAACGCUGAAGCGAUUUCGGUCAAUUCUGUUAUACUAGUGGCGGACGGGUGAGUAACGCGUGGGUAACCUGCCGUAUGCAGGGGGACAACAGUUGGAAACGACUGCUAAUACCGCAUAAGCGCACAGAUAGGCAUCUAUCAGUGUGAAAAGAUUUAUCGGCAUACGAUGGACCCGCGUCUGAUUAGCUAGUUGGUGAGGUAACGGCCCACCAAGGCGACGAUCAGUAGCCGGCCUGAGAGGGUGAACGGCCACAUUGGGACUGAGACACGGCCCAAACUCCUACGGGAGGCAGCAGUGGGGAAUAUUGGACAAUGGGGGAAACCCUGAUCCAGCCGACGCCGCGUGAGUGAAGAAGUAUUUCGGUAUGUAAAGCUCUAUCAGCAAGGAAGAAAAUGACGGUACUUGACUAAGAAGCUCCGGCUAAAUACGUGCCAGCAGCGGC